rnacentral:lncRNA from 1 species
GACACUGAAAUCCAGAGCAGAGCCUGUUGCUGUCUCUUUCCUCUGCUGCUCAGCACAGGGACAGGUUCAGCUGUGCUCUCACCUGCAAGGUCUAGAUUGAUCGAUUGGAGAACCCCGUUUCUUUCCUAGGAUUGAAGCACUCUGUCUUCAAGAGCGAGUGGGGAAUGCAGAGAUAUCCUAGCAGCAAGCCCCACUUUCCAGUAACUGAAGUCAUCUGCAGACACUGAGACCGUCCUUCGGAGGUGGGGCAGCUGAGAACCAUUGAAUACGGGAAGGCGUCUGAAGGCUCGUGGAAGCAGGGAUGCAGAAACACAUCCUCAUCACCUCCCGUCUCGCCUUCUCCCUCAGGAGAGCUAGAAGUACAGUCCUCCCAGCAAGGUCCAGGGAGAAAGAGCUUGGUUGGUGGAGGCUCACGUGUGAGCUGGAGAGAGCGAGCAGUGGAAGCUGAAAGUGCCCUGGCCAGUGAGAUUCUUUAGCAGCUAAGCAACAGGCUGAAGUAGCUUCUGUGUUGGGCAAGGAGGCUUCUAACCAUCUGAGCCUACCAGUGGAAAAUCAAGCAGACCCGUAAAGCAAGACCUUACAUCCCACAGGCGUGGAGAAUUGGGUUAUGGCACUAAGCAAUGGAUUCCCAUCAGCCAAGGAAAAAAAAUGAUGCUGAUGAAUUUUAAAGUUCAUGUAGUCGGAGAUGUCCUGAUGCCUGCCACAAUGAACUUGACUGAUACAACCCAACAAGCAGAUGCUUGGUGUCUGGCCUGAAGCAUUGUUUAGCGGGAUGAGAGAUUAUAGGGCUCUUUACAAGUGAUCACCUACCAUGUAUGUGGGUAAAGGUUGACUACACAACCACCGUUCUGUAAAAAUGUGUUAAUCACAAGAAACAUACCACAAACCAUCAGAAAGAUUUGGCCUAGAUGUCCUGGAGAUAUUGGCACAACAAACAAGCAAACAAAACUCCAAAACAAAAGAAAUUCACAAACAAACAACAAGACCAAUGGCAUGUUUCAGUCCGUUGACUUUUUACCAGACAAGAAAUAAAAACUCUUCCUGGCU